rnacentral:rRNA from 1 species
GACGAACCGUCCAAACGUUAUUCGGUAUCACUGGGCUUAAAGAGUUCGUAGGCGGCCAUGUAGGUCAGGUGUGAAAUCCCACAGCUCAACUGUGGAACUGCGCUUGAAACCCCAUGGCUUGAGGGAGAUAGAGGUGAGCGGAACAGAUGGUGGAGCGGUGAAAUGCGUUGAUAUCAUCUGGAACACCGGUGGCGAAAGCGGCUCACUGGAUCUCUUCUGACGCUGAGGAACGAAAGCUAGGGUAGCGAACGGG